ensembl:lncRNA
UACACAGGCUGUUGAUUCGGCUGCAGUUCUAUCCGGGGUUUUGUCAUUCAGCUGUAAUAGCAUGAAAGGAAGGGAUGUUUUCAUGCAUCUGCAGCCAGCGAGGACUUCAUGGAUACAGCAUGGUGCUGAUCUGCAGCCCUGCGGCUGCUGGUUGCCUUUGGAGGGCUGCAUUGAAGGAGAGCAUGGAAGGAGAGCAUGGAAGGAGAGCAUUUAGCUUCAGCUAAAUGAAGGAGGGCAUGAUCACGGAAUCAUAGAAAAGUGCAGCUCACAGCAUCUCCUGGAGGAGCCUGACCUGGUGACGAAGCCCUACAACACACUGUCGCUGUUCUGCAGCAGUUUUGAUCCCACCGUCAUACAGCGUUGCAUGGACGUGACCAAGGGCAGCUCUGUGGGAGGAAGCCAGGAGGAGAAACCUAAAGGAUCCCGUGCUCCUUGCACAGCAGUGCUGGCUGCUUUGUUCACCACCAGAAAGAAGGGAAACAGGCCUCCAGCUGCUGUACAAAGAGACGGUGGGACGUGGGCUUACCUUGGAGCAGUGACCUCGGCCUUGUUCCUUGGUGUCCCAGCAGUGUCCAGGAGCACUGGGCAGGUGGGCUGUCCCUCUCAGAAGGUGAUGGCUCAAUUUUGGGACCCCUCAAAGGCUGCGUGGAGACGGCAGCGUCCCAUGAGUGGAAGGAUGGGUGAGCACAUUGGGCUGUUGGGUCUCAUGCCACGUCAGCUGGUCUGUGUCCCAGCUGGGCAGAGCUGAUGGAAGCAGGACUGAGUGGUGUGCCUGAAGAGAUGUCCAACCAAUAGGCACUCUGUGUCACUUGGGCUCAAA